GACGAACGCUGGCGGCGUGCUUAACGCAUGCAAGUCGAACGCUGAAGCUUGGUGCUUGCACUGGGUGGAUGAGUGGCGAACGGGUGAGUAAUACGUGAGUAACCUGCCCUUGACUCUGGGAUAAGCCUGGGAAACUGGGUCUAAUACUGGAUAUGACAUGCCACUGCAUGGUGGUGUGUGGAAAGGGUUUUACUGGUUUUGGAUGGGCUCACGGCCUAUCAGCUUGUUGGUGGGGUAAUGGCCUACCAAGGCGACGACGGGUAGCCGGCCUGAGAGGGUGACCGGCCACACUGGGACUGAGACACGGCCCAGACUCCUACGGGAGGCAGCAGUGGGGAAUAUUGCACAAUGGGCGGAAGCCUGAUGCAGCGACGCCGCGUGAGGGAUGACGGCCUUCGGGUUGUAAACCUCUUUCAGCACGGAAGAAGCGAGAGUGACGGUACGUGCAGAAGAAGCGCCGGCUAACUACGUG
rnacentral:rRNA from 1 species